rnacentral:lncRNA from 1 species
CUCAGAUCUUCUCCUCUGCUCCUAUUGCCUUUUCCACUGCUCCUAUUUUCAAGGACCAGAAGAAGGAUCGACAAAUAAACGAUUGGCUUUUCGUAUUUCUGGAUCUGAUGGUGAUGUGCAGGUGAGGAAGAAGCUUUAUGUGCCACAAGUGGAGGACAAGAAUAGUCACAUGAGAAUGCUCAACAUCUCGUGUUGAUGAUCUGGUUGCGAAUUUGAUGGAUAUUUUAAAAGCGGCUGCGGUGGAUGCCGAUGGAAAUGAAUGCGAAGACUUUUUACAGGCAAGGUGAUGAAGUUGAUUUGUUCCUCUAACCAGCAAAUCAUGCUCAAGUGAGGGAGGCAGAUCAAGCAGAAACACAAGCAAUGCAACUUGCAGAGUGAGUUGAUGGCUGCGAAGUCUAUUGGAGCUCAGCAAUGAGGAGUUAGAGAUAGUCAAAGCUGGUGCAGUUCAAAAAAUGAAGAGUUAGAGGCAGUGAAGGCUAGAGCCGCUGCACAAAAUGAAGAGUUGGAGGCACUAAAGGCAAGAAAAAAUCAUACCGACAUACUUUUACUUAAAUUGAUGGUGCUGUUAUCCUCCCAAAACUGAUGAUUGGUCUAAGAUUAAAAAAAGUACAUCUUGCAAACUAUCAUUGAAGGCCGCCUUAUUGAGCUUCUAGAAAGACUUGUAUGUAUUUCCAUUUAUUUUGAAAUUGCUAUUAAGGAUGGAUUGACAUUUGUAUAUUUUGGAUUUGCAAAUUUAAUUAGUAUUUCAGGAU